GGGUUCCGGUGGCAGCGCCGGGGUCUCAGACCCUGAGGAGACUGAGCCCAGCGCCAGGCGACCGGUCCCCGCCGCCGCCGCCCCUGCGCGGGAGAUCCCCCCUGCUUAGUCCGCGCCCGAGCCCCCGUCCGUGGGAACAGACAAGGGGCCUCCGCAGCGCCUCACAACCCCCGACCAGGUCCAGCGGCGGGGGACUCGGCCGUGGAGGGCGCUGUUCGGUCUGGAUGGCUCCCCCCAUCAGCGGGAGGCUACACCCCCCACCAGCAGGGGCAAGAGGAGCAGCGGGAUGGGAGCAGGCCAACGUCCUGCGGCCUGGUUGAGCUCGCACUGACAAUCGCAGGUUUCGGACACGGGGGUCGCUUUGGGGGGCCUGGGGGCGCGGGGACCAGAGCUCGGGGCGGGGCAGUCCAGCCAGUUGGGCCCCAUGGGCUGGGGGGCGUCCGGCUCGGUCUUGAUGCUGUUCUUGGGGAAGCGCCAGUAGUGGGCGCCCUUGAAGAAGUAGGUGUCACCUGUGUGUGGGCGAGGCCGGGGGCUGGGGCGGAGGAGCCAGGGGUUUCCUUGUGGGCUUGUCAUAUGGGGUUUGGGGCGCCUUCCCUGUGAGGAAAGAGUCAGGCAGGUGUGCGUCCCCUGGCCCUGCUGCAGAGGACACUGGAUGGGGCAAUGAUGGUUUCGCGGCAGGUCCCUCUCCCCCUACCAUAGAGUUGCUGCAGGCCAUCGCGGUCAUCCUGAGACAGGCGGUACUUGUCAGGGUCGCCCACCGGACCCUGGUAGAAGGGCCUCAUAAUGGAGUUGGGGGCUGAGGAGUGGCCCAGGCCCAGGGCGUGGCCAAACUCAUGGACAGCCACGGCAAACAGGUCGGUCCCCUCGCCGUGCUGGAGUGCAGUGGCACGAUCUCGGCUCACUGCAACCUCUGCCUCCAGGAUUCAACUGAUUCUCCUGCCUCAGCCUCUCCAGUAGCUGGGAUUACAGGCUUGC
rnacentral:lncRNA from 1 species